rnacentral:rRNA from 1 species
UGGGGAAUAUUGCACAAUGGGCGAAAGCCUGAUGCAGCGACGCCGCGUGAGGGAUGACGGCCUUCGGGUUGUAAACCUCUUUCAGCAGGGACGAAGCGCAAGUGACGGUACCUGCAGAAGAAGCACCGGCUAACUACGUGCCAGCAGCCGCGGUAAUACGUAGGGUGCAAGCGUUGUCCGGAAUUACUGGGCGUAAAGAGUUCGUAGGCGGUUUGUCGCGUCGUUUGUGAAAACCAGCAGCUCAACUGCUGGCUUGCAGGCGAUACGGGCAGACUUGAGUACUGCAGGGGAGACUGGAAUUCCUGGUGUAGCGGUGAAAUGCGCAGAUAUCAGGAGGAACACCGGUGGCGAAGGCGGGUCUCUGAGCAGUAACUGACGCUGAGGAACGAAAGCGUGGGUUGCGGCCAGG